CCUACGGGAGGCAGCAGUGGGGGAUAUUGCACAAUGGGGGAAACCCUGAUGCAGCGACGCCGCGUGGGUGAAGAAGCGCCUCGGCGCGUAAAGCCCUGUCAGCAGGGAAGAAAAUGACGGUACCUGAAGAAGAAGCCCCGGCUACCUACGUGCCAGCAGCCGCGGUAAUACGUAGGGGUCAAGCGUUAUCCGGAUUUACUGGGUGUAAAGGGGGCGCAGACGGCGAUGCAAGCCAGGAGUGAAAGCCCGGGGCCCAACCCCGGGACUGCUCUUGGAACUGCGUGGCUAGAGUGCAGGAGGGGCAGGCGGAAUUCCUGGUGUAGCGGUGAAAUGCGUAGAUAUCAGGAGGAACACCGGUGGCGAAGGCGGCCUGCUGGACUGCAACUGACGUUGAGGCCCGAAAGCGUGGGGAGCAAACAGGAUUAGAUACCCCAGUAGUC
rnacentral:rRNA from 1 species